rnacentral:snoRNA from 1 species
AGAGUUGAUGAUGAAGAUUUGAUCUCAUACAUCAUCGCCGGCCUAGAUGAAGACUACGAACCGGUGAUCUCCUCAAUUGUUGGGAGGUCCGAUCUGGUCUCAGUUGGCAAGGCGUAUUCCCAGCUUCUCAGCUUCGAGC